CACCGGCGGCUCGAGUGGUAACCGUUAUUAUUGGGUCUAAAGGGUCUGUAGCCGGCCGGAUAAGUCUCUUGAGAAAUCUGGCAGCUUAACUGUCAGGCUUUCAGGAGAUACUGUCUGGCUCGAGGCCGGGAGAGGUGAGAGGUACUUCAGGGGUAGGGGUGAAAUCUUGUAAUCCUUGAAGGACCACCAGUGGCGAAGGCGUCUCACCAGAACGGACCUGACGGCAAGGGACGAAAGCUAGGGGCACGAACCGGAUUAGAUACCCGGGUAGUCCCUGAGCGGGCUGG
rnacentral:rRNA from 1 species